UACGUAGGGUGCAAGCGUUGUCCGGAUUUAUUGGGCGUAAAGAGCUCGUAGGCGGUUUGUCGCGUCUGCUGUGAAAGCCCGAGGCUCAACCUCGGGUCUGCAGUGGGUACGGGCAGACUAGAGUGCGGUAGGGGAGAUUGGAAUUCCUGGUGUAGCGGUGGAAUGCGCAGAUAUCAGGAGGAACACCGAUGGCGAAGGCAGAUCUCUGGGCCGUUACUGACGCUGAGGAGCGAAAGCAUGGGGAGCGAACAGGAUUAGAUACCCCGGUAGUCC
rnacentral:rRNA from 1 species